rnacentral:rRNA from 1 species
AACGAACGCUGGCGGCAUGCCUAACACAUGCAAGUCGAACGAGACCUUCGGGUCUAGUGGCGCACGGGUGCGUAACGCGUGGGAAUCUACCCUUGGGUUCGGAAUAACUCAGAGAAAUUUGAGCUAAUACCGGAUGAUGUCGCAAGACCAAAGAUUUAUCGCCCAAGGAUGAGCCCGCGUAGGAUUAGCUUGUUGGUGAGGUAAAAGCUCACCAAGGCGGCGAUCCUUAGCUGGUCUGAGAGGAUGAUCAGCCACACUGGGACUGAGACACGGCCCAGACUCCUACGGGAGGCAGCAGUGGGGAAUAUUGGACAAUGGGCGAAAGCCUGAUCCAGCAAUGCCGCGUGAGUGAUGAAGGCCUUAGGGUUGUAAAGCUCUUUUACCCGAGAUGAUAAUGACAGUAUCGGGAGAAUGAGCUCCGGCUAACUCCGUGCCAGCAGCCGCGGUAAU